AGAAGGGGAACAAAAUACACAGUCCUCUUUUCGUGCAGGGCUUCAAGGCUUCAGCAGUCUGAGUAAGCCAAAUCAAAAUCGUCAAGUAGAGGCACACCUGGAGGGCAGAUGUUUGGGACCCAGAAAGGCAGCAUCACAGCUGGCUAUUUGAGCUCACUUAGUUCUACACCACCUGUGUUUUUGCAAGUACCUGUACCUCACUGUUGCUGAUCCUUAUUACAAGUUCAAAUGUAGUUUGUUGUAAAGUUGCCUUACAGUAUAUCAGCAAAAAGCAGAUGACAAAUCCCUCACACGUGAUCACAAAGAAAGUAGGGCAAAGACGUACAUGCAGUAAUGUACUGUAUGUCAGUGAAUUCUGAGCUCAGCUUGUGUGAGAUAAAUGUGAAGAUGUUGUAGACACGCGGUUCUGACUGGACAUAGUGAAAAGGGUCUUUUGUAAACACAUCAUGCAGACGUGGGACAGAGACAAGGUAUAAUGUAGAGGGGGCUGCCUGCCAAGUUUGAGGCUGGUUUACAGGUUGACCAGCAGGGCAUGAGAGCGUCUGUCUCUAACAAAACAUCCAGGUGCAAUAUUCACACCUCAGCUACAGGAUGGCUCUGUGGGGAAGGGAAGGCAAAGGUCAGCUACUGGCCUAGCUCUCAGACACUAGCAGCCUUUAUACUCCUGUAGAGCUGAGGGUCCAUGUCUGUAAACACACACACACACACACACACACACACACACACAGGCCCAUGCACGUAUCAGUGUUUCUAUUCUACCUCAUUUACUUUACACAACCUUUAAGUGAGAUUUGCUUCAGUGGUAUUUCACAGCCUUUAAUUGUGUUUUCGUAAUAAGAGCAAACAUCUUUACAGUCAAAGCGGCUGUUAGACACUGGGGUCUUUGGAGAAUGAAACCAAAGCAGAUGUCUGGUAAACAACUAACUUCACAACUAGAUUACACAAUUCUGUUUCCUUACAUGACAGGCACCACUCUCAUGUUUACUUUGGAAAAAUAGCAAAUCUGUCACUGAAAGAAUCCUCUCUUCAGUCAGGAUGUGUUGCUGUCUCUACAAAGUAAUUUCAGUAACAAUGCUGUUACUGUAUCACCUGCAGGCUUAUGCAUUCUGCUUUUGUCUUUCAAAUCCUGUUCAAUAUUCACUCUCUGUGACAACUGUUUGAAAAAACAAUUAAUAAUACAUCAUUACGGUAAUAACUUCAAGUGGAUGUCCGACAGCACUGCUGGCAGCUAAAGCUUUCUCCGUCAGUUUUGAGUCAAUGAUCUGGUUCCUCAGGUGUCAAUUGUAACAGCUUAAAAGAGGUAAUGUAAAACAAGUUAAUGAAUAAAAGACAUUAAAUGAAUAGAACAGCAUAGUUGAGGUAUAGCUUACAGCGAUGCUCUCACCCAGCAGCCUUCCUUAUGCUGCUUCUAGACUAAAUAAACCUCAUAUCAACACAG